rnacentral:misc_RNA from 1 species
GAAAUGCGAUAAGUAAUGUGAAUUGCAGAAUUUGCAGGUCCUGUGGUUGUUUUAAACCACUCCUGUAUAAAAUAUUACCGCAUUCUCCCAUUGUGUUAAUGGGGCAACGUUAUGGGGUUUCUGCCGCGAAUAUUACGUUUUUUGUGUUCCUGGCGGGAUUCAUACGCAUAAUCUUGUCUAUUUUCGCCUUGUGGAGGGCUUUAGAUGUGGUCUUUUUUACAAACUGCGCUUUUUACAAAAAAAGCACCCUUUAACCGUCCUCGGAUCAGGCGGGAUUACCCGCUGAACUUAA